UCGAUGUGGGUCCAACACCUUCCUUUAAACAAAGUAUGUCUCCCCUUAAUGAAGGCUCGGCUCCCUUUUCUUUUGGAGUCUUAUUUUUACUAUAUCUUCAA